UGAUCCUGGCUCAGGACGAACGCUGGCGGUGCGCCUUAUGCAUGCAAGUUGAGCGAAGCUUUUCAGUAGUUUACUACAGAAAAUGACUGAGCGGCGAACGGGUGAGUAACGCGUGAGCAAUCUACCUUAGUUACUGGGAUAGCCCGAGGAAACUCGGAUUAAUACCGGAUAUUCUUAUUUUUUCACAUGAAGUUUUAAGGAAAGGUCAGCCGAACUAAGAUGAGCUCGCGUUCUAUCAGCUAGUUGGUGGGGUAAAAGCCUACCAAGGCAACGACGGAUAGCUGGUCUGAGAGGACGAUCAGCCACACUGGGACUGAGACACGGCCCAGACUCCUACGGGAGGCUGCAGCAGGGAAUAUUGUGCAAUGAGCGAAAGCUUGACACAGCGACACCGCGUGUGGGAUGACGGUUCUAGGAUUGUAAACCACUUUCAGGAGGGAAGAAAAUGACGGUACCUCCACAAGAAGACCCGGCCAACUAUGUGCCAGCAGCCGCGGUAAUACAUAGGGGUCAAGCGUUGUCCGGAUUUAUUGGGCGUAAAGAGCACGUAGGCGGUUCAACAAGUCGGUCGUAAAAGUUUAGGGCUCAACCCUAAAAUGUCGAUCGAUACUGUUGUGACUAGGAUACGGUAGAGGUGAAUGGAAUUCCGAGUGUAGCGGUGAAAUGCGUAGAUAUUCGGAGGAACACCAAUUGCGAAGGCAGUUCACUGGACCGUGAUCGACGCUGAGGAGCGAAAGCUAGGGGAGCAAACAGGAUUAGAUACCCUGGUAGU
rnacentral:rRNA from 1 species